CAGAAUAGAGCUUGAUUAGUUAAGCAUUUCAUUUACACUGAAAAUACACUGUGCAAUUCAGUUUAUUCUGA
rnacentral:tRNA from 15 species